rnacentral:rRNA from 1 species
UACGGAGGGGGCGAGCGUUAUUCGGAAUUAUUGGGCGUAAAGGGCGCGUAGGCGGCCUGGCAAGUGGGGGGUGAAAUCCCUCGGCUUAACCGAGGAACUGCCCUCCAAACUGCUUGGCUUGAGUCCGGGAGAGGUGAGUGGAAUUCCCAGUGUAGCGGUGAAAUGCGUAGAUAUUGGGAGGAACACCAGUGGCGAAGGCGGCUCACUGGACCGGAACUGACGCUGAGGCGCGAAAGCGUGGGGAGCAAACGGG